UACGUAGGGUGCGAGCGUUGUCCGGAAUUACUGGGCGUAAAGAGCUCGUAGGUGGUUUGUCGCGUUGUUCGUGAAAACUCACAACUCAAUUGUGGGCGUGCGGGCGAUACGGGCAGACUGGAGUACUGCAGGGGAGACUGGAAUUCCUGGUGUAGCGGUGAAAUGUGUAGAGAUCGGGAGGAACACCGGUGGCGAAGGCGGGUCUCUGGGCAAUUCCUGACGCUGAGGCGCGAAAGCCAGGGGAGCAAACGGG
rnacentral:rRNA from 1 species